rnacentral:rRNA from 1 species
UGGCUCAGAACGAACGCUGGCGGCAUGCCUAACACAUGCAAGUCGAACGAGACCUUCGGGUCUAGUGGCGCACGGGUGCGUAACGCGUGGGAAUCUGCCCUUUGCUUCGGAAUAACAGUUAGAAAUGACUGCUAAUACCGGAUGAUGUCUUCGGACCAAAGAUUUAUCGGCAAAGGAUGAGCCCGCGUAGGAUUAGGUAGUUGGUGGGGUAAAGGCCUACCAAGCCGACGAUCCUUAGCUGGUCUGAGAGGAUGAUCAGCCACACUGGGACUGAGACACGGCCCAGACUCCUACGGGAGGCAGCAGUGGGGAAUAUUGGACAAUGGGCGAAAGCCUGAUCCAGCAAUGCCGCGUGAGUGAUGAAGGCCUUCGGGUCGUAAAGCUCUUUUACCAGGGAUGAUAAUGACAGUACCUGGAGAAUAAGCUCCGGCUAACUCCGUG